UAUUUGCAUUGAAAGAAGAACCAGAUGUGUUUAGAAUAUGGAUGCCCGACGAAGAUUGUCCAGGUCUGGCGAUGGCCAGGGCCUUUGGAGAUUUCUGCCUGAAAGAUUAUGGCCUCAUCUCAAUUCCUGAAGUUUCUUAUAGAAGGCUUACAAAAAAUGAUGAAUUUGUGGUUCUUGCAACCGAUGGGGUAAGUAAAGAAAAGAAAAUCAAGCUCAUAAACUUUUUUGAGACAUUGGAAGCAUAUAAUGCAUAACUUGGAAGAUUAACAUUUUUCUCUCUUUUCUGUAGAUAUGGGAUGUGCUAUCGAAUUUUGAUGUAAUUCGGAUAGUUGCCUCAGCAAGAAAGCGAUCAUUGGCUGCUAAAAUGGUAGUAAAAUACGCAGUUCGGGCAUGGAAAAAUAAAUAUCCAGGUUGCAGGGUAGACGACUGUGCAGUUGUAUGCUUGUUCCCGUGCCGUCAAGAACCUCGCCGAUGAAUCCGUCAUUCAACAAGUCGGCCACGCCGCCGCAUAUGGUCGACAGGGAUGCCAUUGAGUGCAGCCGCGUGAACAGGUUACUCCCACAUAAUUAAUUGGAAACUGCCUGGGACAACGCUCCUUUGCGCUUAUGAGGCAUGUUUUUCUCCCAUGUUUGAAACAGUGAGAGUGCCUCAUCCACUCAAUUAUCUUCUCUCGGAAGACGCAAACACCUCCAGACAAACCAAUAAACGGAGAGAGAAGCAAAUCAUUAACUGAUUGCAGACAUUGGGCAUUAUAUUAUAUAAAAGCUAUGUAGUGGCCACCGUUUUUAUACAUUGCAUUAGUACAGUCAAGUACUAGUAGACUAAAAACAGUUCACACCCAUCGAUUUAGCCUCUCAAAAAUAACCCAAAAAGAAGAAGAAGAAGAAAAAACCUCUUAAUUAUUAGAGUUAAGCCAAGCUAUUCAAUCUAGACAACAGUGGAUUUGCGGACGAUGUAUCGAUAGGCAGCGACUUUUUUUCUCUUGGAAGCAGUGUUGUCCACUGAAAGCACCAUCUUCCCUGCUUCUCUUGAAGUGUAAGAGUUGUGAAUUGCCUCCUCUGAGGGAGCCACCUGCCUUAUCUUCUCCACGGCAAUGGUGUAGCUCCCUUCUGCAUUCGGCACGAACUCUGCACUGUACUCCAAGUCCCACCCUCCGACCACUAUGUCCCAUGUAAUUGUUGCACCACCCUUUUUAAUUAUCCAAGCAACACAAUUAAUUGCAUAAAGUUAUUUUUGAUUUGUACUAUUAAUUGAAGAUAAAUCAACAGGAAUCAUGUGGGUUUUAAGUGAAAUCAAGAAAGAGAACAAAUUUAUGGUGAACUGAACCUCAAUCCCUUCGAUCUGAAUGUUCACUUUCUCUCCUCCUUUUACAGCAAACUCGGAUGCAGGUUUAGGUGGGCCAUUCUGCAAAUCGCUGGGUCGACAUAGUCCUCCAUACUGAACUGGAAUGUCCUCAGGCCUUAUGAAUCUUACAACCAAACAAGAUCAAUUUCAGACAACAAACUCAAAAUAGCAAAGUUAUAAUCAGAUCACAAGUUUAGAGAAGAAAAGAGAAAGGAUGAGCUGGUGAGAUCACAACAAAUCAGGAACAAAAAUCAAAUACCACAUUAGGUGUUAACAAAAAAUGACUAGAAUAGUUAACCAACCAACUAAAUGAAGCGAACAGAGGAGUCAGAAAUACUUGUACAGAGUCUCUGGAAAAUUUCCUUCCUUUGAGAUUACGAACUUGCUCCUAGUUCGCUGAGUUAGGAAUGGACUGAACAUCGAAUACAACAAGCUGAAGUACCAUGGGACAUUGAUGAAAAUCUAAUACCCAGUAGGAUAAGAAAAGAGAAUAAGAGAACUGCAAGAUGAGAAACGCAAACAAACAAGAGGGGAAAAAUUAUAGGCAAGAAAAAAAAACAAUGAAGCAAUUAACGGUUAUUACCUUACGAGCCACCAUUUCAGGAUAAUUAUCUUGAAAAAGAGAGAGGAUCUGAUUAGAAGCGACCCUAAGCUCUCUUUUAGGCAUGUCUUUGAGAUCCGUCACUUGAAUAAUGGAGUUGACUCCACCAGGCUUAAAAUUCAGAAGUUUAAUCCCUCUCUCCAGCACCUGAACUCUCCAUCUCAGGAACUUCUUGAGCUUCUCUUCAUCUCCGAAUAUCCUCUCAUACAUUUCCUUGUCCUUAAAGACCCCAUAGGCAUUGUAGCAAACAGGGUGUCCCUCUCUGUCAUACCCAUGCAUGUAAGCCACAACACCUUCAAGCUCCUUAAAACCCAACUCCUCCUCACAGAUGCUGUCUGCUCCAAACUCCUUUCUCCAGGACAAACACUUCUCCAGCAUGUGAAGUGCAUCAGGGACUCUAAAGUCUCUGGCACGCAAAAACUUCAAAAGUAUCACGUCAGCCUUCUCGUCUCCACUCAUAAGAGGAAUACCCCACAUCGAACACUCACUAUCAGAAUCAUAAGAGGCGGAGAGUUUAUCCCUGAACUCUAGCAGCGCUUUCUUCUCGGAGGAUUUGAGAUGGGAGAUGAAAUAGGUGUCUUCCUUGAAGGAAGGAGUGCGAAGAGUGGCGGCCUCCAUUAGAGUGGUAACGAAGCUUUUCUUGUAAGGUUUUGGAGAGGGCUCAGAUGGAUGGUCUUGGAGAGGGGUUUGUUGGAUUGAGAUGGGUGAUGAAGCUUCCAUGAAUGAGACCCAGAUGGAAACUCCCUAAAAGAAAUGCAGCAGACCUUGAAAAAUACGGAGAGAGUCUUGUUUAAUUGAUUGGUACGGUGUAUCAACUGUGAAGAAGAAGAAGAAGAAGAAGGCGAUGAUGAUGAUGAAGACGAUGAAGAAAUCAGCGGAGAUGAGAACAAUUACAGCGAAGAUGAGGAAGACGAGGAGAGCUACCAAAGGCUCCGGGAAAGAGAGAGAAGGCAAUUAUUUUUGCACGACUAUGUCGAGUUGUACCGCUCCACGACGGAGUACGGUGGUCUCAUCUUAGAGCAACGGUUGCAAAUGGUCCACUGGAUUGCUGAGCAAUCAACUGCAAAUAAGUUUCAGCAUGAGACAAUGUUCCUUGGAGUUGGUCUUCUGGAUAGGUUUCUAAGCAAAGGAUUUUUCAAGAACAAGAGGAGCCUUCGGAUUGUUGGAAUAGCCUGCCUUACGUUGGCCACCAGAAUUGAAGAAAAUCAGCUCUACAAUAGUUUGAGGCAGAAGAAUUUCACCAUAGAGAACAGUGCGUACAGCAGAUUUGAAGUUGUAGCCAUGGAGUGGCUGGUUCAGGAGGUACUCAACUUCCAGUGCUUCUUGCCCACCAUCCACAACUUCAUGUGGUUCUACUUGAAAGCUGCUAGAGCUGAUGCCAGGGUAGAGAAGAAGGCAAGAUGCCUGGCAAAAUUAGCGCUAUCAGACCAUGAGCAUCUUCGGUACUGGCCCUCAACAGUUGCAGCAGGACUUGUGAUUUUGGCUUCUCUGGAAAGCGAUCAAAUCGAAUGCUACCAACGGGUCAUCGAGGAUCAUGUCAGAACAAAAGAAAAUGACUUGCAUGAAUGCAUAAAGAAAAUGGAGUGGAUGCUACAGUAUGUAAACUAGCAGAUUAGAAGAGAGAGGAUUCUUGUCCCACCUUUUGUCAAUUGACAUUUGCUUCUCAUAUAUCUCAAGCCAAUGCUAAAAUGCAAACUACUGUUAGCUUUCGUAAAUCCUAAUAAAAAAGAAAGGUUAUAGAUAUCUGAUUCUUUUUCAACUUGGCAAAAAAUGCUAGUUGUAAUCUGUCCAUAAAAGGCAGGAGAUAAACUCUGCAUCAUUUACCAGGCUAGUUUAAAGUUGGAGUACAUGAGUAAUUCUUUGUCAGGAAUCAACUAUUCAAUGCAUUCUUUUGUUAAAAAUCUAGCACUAUGCAAGCAAUGACAGAUAUGCAGAACAAAAAUGUUCUUUCCGGUUUCUAGAUGUCUUAUUCACUGUUGGUUUUGUUAUUCAGAGGAAAUUUGUGCAUAUCUUCAUAGUUAAUUCUAUUGAUAUGUAAUGGUUAUUGUAGUAGUAGUAGUGUUGGAAGUGGAAGUGGAAUUGGUGAUGCUCUGAAUUCUGAAAUAGUAUCGAGCAACAAAAUAAACCAUUGAGCACGAAAUAAAAGUACAUGUUUUAAUAUUUGGUCCAGUAAAUGAAAUUUAGCCUUGUGAGGAUAUAUUUAAUGGGCUUUAAGUAUUCCAUCAAAACAUUUAAUUAUUAAUAAAAAUCAUCAUCCUUUACAGAAGUAACCUGAAUGUUUCUUUAUGUUUUGGGCAAAAAAAGUGUAAGUUUUAGUUAUCAAUUGGAUCUCAGUCAUCUGCAAGAGAAACUACUAACAAUGGCUGAUCACUUAAUUUAAUUCCGGCAAUCCUAGAUUAUUUUAGUAGCCUAAUAACUGAGUGUUGAUCUCAUAAUAUAAGAGAUUAGUGUGCUUUUUUCAUUCUACAAAUUUUGGAGUCAAGUUCAUAGAAUUUAUUAUAAACUAGGUGGAAAUCACUGAAAUUCUUUUAAACUGUCUUUUAAUAUUAGGCAUUUUCUUAGCAAAUCCAAAUAAUAAUUAAAAAAAAUAAAUCAAAAAAAUACAAAAAGAGAGAGAGAAAAUCAACAACAUUGCAAGUUUGAAUAAGAAUAAUUGAACAAGAAGAAAGGAAGAGCAAAUGCUUCAUAUCUUCUGUGACGGAAACCGCAACAAACAAAAUCGAGUUAGUUGCUGCCCUCUAUGAAAUGACCAAAACAACACCGCUCAACCCCCCAAAUUCCCCCGCCCACGGAGGAAGACAAUUCACAAUCGUGAAAUCUCCCUUUAUAACCUCUUCUCUCUCUCUCUCUCUCU
rnacentral:misc_RNA from 1 species